rnacentral:rRNA from 1 species
AGUGAACGCUGGCGGUAGGCCUAACACAUGCAAGUCGAACGGCAGCACAGUAAGAGCUUGCUCUUACGGGUGGCGAGUGGCGGACGGGUGAGGAAUACAUCGGAAUCUACUUUUUCGUGGGGGAUAACGUAGGGAAACUUACGCUAAUACCGCAUACGACCUACGGGUGAAAGCAGGGGAUCUUCGGACCUUGCGCGAUUGAAUGAGCCGAGGUCGGAUUAGCUAGUUGGCGGGGUAAAGGCCCACCAAGGCGACGAUCCGUAGCUGGUCUGAGAGGAUGAUCAGCCACACUGGAACUGAGACACGGUCCAGACUCCGACGGGAGGCAGCAGUGGGGAAUAUUGGACAAUGGGCGCAAGCCUGAUCCAGCCAUACCGCGUGAGUGAAGAAGGCCUUCGGGUUGUAAAGCCCUUUUGUUGGGAAAGAAAAGCAGCAGGUUAAUACCCCGCUGUUCUGACGGUACCCAAAGAAUAAGCACCGGCUAACUUCGU